AGAACGAACGCUGGCGGCGUGCUUAACACAUGCAGGUCCAACGUGAAAGGGGAGCAAUCCCCCGGUAGGGUGGCGAACGGGUGAGUAAUACAUGGGAAUCUGUCCUGGAGAUGGGGAUAUCCUUCCGAAAGGAGGGUUAAUACCGCAUAAGUCCUACGGGGGAAAGCGGGGGAUCGAGAGACCUCGCGCCGGUGGAUGAGCCGAAGCCGGAUUAGCUAGUUGGUAGGGUAAUGGCCUACCAAGGCGACGAUCCGUAGCUGGUCUGAGAGGACGACCAGCCACACUGGGACUGAGACACGGCCCAGACUCCUACGGGAGGCAGC
rnacentral:rRNA from 1 species